GCUAAUUCAUGAGACUAAAGUUAAUGGUUGUAUUGUCAGAAAAUUAAUAAAUGUCAGCGAUAAAGAUGAAUCUUCUCCUUGUAGCUUGUCUGGUUGCAGUGUGCAGUGCUGCCCCUCCUGUUCCAGUCGUAGCUCCUGCUUUCUGUGCAUCUGGGGAGAUUUAUUUCCAUGACUCUGAGGACACUAAAUUUGGCAAAUUUUCGAUGUAUCGUGACUAUGUCAGCCAGAAGGAGAUGGAAAUAGGCAUGUACGAGCAGGCAAGCUUGACGAUUGAGUCACUACUCCGAUACGACUCGAAAACCAGUCACAUGGCCUACUACAUCAGAGGGCCUAAGGGUAAUGAACAAUGUACUUUUGAGAGCAGGAAUGUCACCUCCAAACUGCCUCCAUUCUUUGACUGGGUUAAGUUAGCAACGUACGAGGGACAGAGGAAAAUCAAAGAAAUUAAUUACGACUUAUGGGGACUGACAGUCGCUGAUGUGCGUUUUGAGCUGGCUGUAGCCCCUGGCAACCCUAAUGUGCCUGUCUACUACAACCGCAAAGAAACGGAGGAUUUUGUUGAAUACAGUUUCAUGAGCUUCAACGCUACUACCCCCGACCCUAAAGUAUUCGAUGUCCCCCCUGUGUGCAAGGAACUGUGAACACACUAGUUGAACCAUGCAACGAUCUUACUGUCCUUUAACUGUAAACAUUUUGUUGCAAUCUCCAUUGCAAAUGUGGGGGAGGGGCUGUUUAAACUUAUUCAUGCAUCACAUGAUGGUUCAUGUUGACCUUUAUAUAAUAAACCAUUACACUGGCUGGUUUAUUUGCUUGUCCUAGUUGCAUAUUAAUAGAUCAGCUAAAAUGAAGCUUCUCUUCUUGGCCUGUAUGAUUGCAGUGUGCAGUGCUAUCCCUCCUGUACCAAAUGUGGCUGAAACAUUUUGUGGAGAUGGGGAAAUUGAGUUCCAUGAAACUGAAGUCACUGCCAUGGGCGAAUUUAUGAUGUGCCGUGACGAGGUCAAACAGAUGGAGGUUCAAGAUGCCAAGUAUGAUGACAAAGAUAUGCACAAUAGACGUCAGUCACUACUCCGAUACGAUUCGACGACCAGUCACAUGGCCUACUACAUCAGAGGGGAAGAGGGUAAGGAACACUGUGCUCCCAUGAUGAGGAAUCUCACCUUCCCUCUGCCUUCAUUCUUUUCCUGGGUUAAAGUUGCUAAUUACGAGGGGCAGAGGAAAGUGAGAGAAAUGAGUUACGACGUAUGGGCACUGACGGUUGCUGAUGUGCGUUUUGAGCUGGCUGUAGCCCCUGGCACUCCAAAUGUGCCUGUUUUCUACAACCGCAUAUCAGUUGAGGAUUUUGUCUUUUACAGUUUCAAGAGCUUCAAUGCUACUACCCCCUCCGACCCUAAAGUGUUCGAUGUCCCCCCUGUGUGCAAGGGACCAUGAACACACUAGUUGAACCAUGCAUGCAAUGAUUUUUACUGUCUUUUAACUGUAAAUUGGCUGUUGUUAAUUAAUGUUGCAGAAUA